rnacentral:rRNA from 1 species
AUUGAACGCUGGCGGCAGGCCUAACACAUGCAAGUCGAACGGUAACAGGAAGAAGCUUGCUUCUUUGCUGACGAGUGGCGGACGGGUGAGUAAUGUCUGGGAAACUGCCUGAUGGAGGGGGAUAACUACUGGAAACGGUAGCUAAUACCGCAUAACGUCGCAAGACCAAAGAGGGGGACCUUCGGGCCCCUUGCCAUCGGAUGUGCCCAGAUGGGAUUAGCUAGUAGGUGGGGUAACGGCUCACCUAGGCGACGAUCCCUAGCUGGUCUGAGAGGAUGACCAGCCACACUGGAACUGAGACACGGUCCAGACUCCUACGGGAGGCAGCAGUGGGGAAUAUUGCACAAUGGGCGCAAGCCUGAUGCAGCCAUGCCGCGUGUAUGAAGAAGGCCUUCGGGUUGUAAAGUACUUUCAGCGGGGAGGAAGGGAGUAAAGUUAAUACCUUUGCUCAUUGACGUUACCCGCAGAAGAAGCACCGGCUAACUCCGUG